CCAGGUGGCAUGAGAAGGUAGAAUCAAGAUGAAUGGGAAAAGAUUGAGGUGGGAACACUCUUCAGACCACCGCCCUAACAGCCAGCACUGAUGGAAGCGGAAACUGGUGACCAGAAGGUGUGCACUCUGUGACACUGAAGGUGCAAGUGGCUAUACCAAUUACAGAAGGUAGUCAAGUGAGUAUCAGGUGAAAUUCAAUUACCUGCAAGACCACUUUCACUCUUGAUGUUCCCAGUGUCUGUCUCAUGCUGUGAUGUGAACCAUUUCCUACUGCUGCUCAGAGGGAAUAUCAGACUGACACUUGUGGGGAAGGUGGGCUGGGGGAGGGCCCCAGCCCAGUGAGAUCCUACAGAAUGGACAUGCAGACUUGAUUGCUCUGCCCCUUGGAAUGGGGCUCCUGAUAGGGAUAAGAGCCCACAAAAGAGGUGCAGAGUGAGGGAUUGUGACUUCCAAAUUGACAGCUGGAGGAAUACUUCUGAUGAGAGUAUUUUCUUAGAGAGAAGUAUUUGAAAAUUUUAAGUGAAAGAGCAUGGAGAGUGCCCCAAACUCAAGGGCAGAGCUCCCUGCUACCAAUACACUUUCCUGACCAGGACUUGGAGGAGAAAGGAGCACAGUCACAUGGUCAGAUCAUUUCAGAGGGUCCCUGUAUGUUCACCACAAGGCAUCCAGCUUACCCGCAGAGAAGAUCCCCGACUGUGGGUCUCCUCACUUGGUAUGUAAUGACCUGAGAAUGGAAGUAUGUCUGUGCCAUCUGUGUCGUUAUGUGCUCACAGGAGUGUGCAUGCCCACACUUGCUCAUGUGAUGACUGGAAAAAAGUGACUAUUUAUUCAGAGCCUUAUAUUUACUUUAUACUAUAAUAAACUAUUCUGUAUAAAA